ensembl:snoRNA SNORA70 Small nucleolar RNA SNORA70
AAGUUUAAAAACAUAUCUGGGUCUGCAAACAGCAGCUUCCUUGGUAGUGUAUGCAGCCUGUUUGUUGUAUGGGUUGCUCUAAGGGACCUUGGAGACAGGC